rnacentral:SRP_RNA from 1 species
GCCGGGCGUGAUGGCUCACCCCUGUAAUUCCAGCACUUGGGAGGCCGGGGCGGGUGGAUCACCUGAGGUCAGGAGUUUGAGACCAGCCUGACCAACAUGGUGAAAACCCGUCUCUA